rnacentral:rRNA from 1 species
UACGUAGGUGACCAGCGUUGUCCGGAUUUACUGGGCGUAAAGAGCGCGCAGGCGGUCGAUCAAGUCGAGUGUGAAAGCCCCCGGCUCAACUGGGGAGGGUCAUUCGAUACUGAUCGACUCGAAGGCAGGAGAGGGUAGUGGAAUUCCCGGUGUAGUGGUGAAAUGCGUAGAUAUCGGGAGGAACACCAGUGGCGAAGGCGGCUAUCUGGACGGUUUCUGACGCUAAGACGCGAAAGCGUGGGGAGCAAACAGG